rnacentral:antisense_RNA from 1 species
GUCACACUCACCGAAAACCUCAGUAAACUAAAUUUAUGAGUUUACAUCUGUUCCAUCAAUGACCACGGUGCACACCUGUUUGGCUUCAUGGCCGGCAACUACAGAUCUAGGUAUCCAAGAUCAAGAGGGACAAUUACAUAUUAUAAGCUGCACGGAGAAGAGUAAUCAAGGUGGACAUGAACUUGUGCUAUGUAAGUUAUGGGUUGAAGAACUCUGUGUGGAAAGUAGAGAAGAAAAAAUUUAGGGAACAAGCAGUAGUUGAAUACAACUAUGUGAAACUAUGAGAACUAUGUGAAAGAGUGUUUGGGUCCAAAGAUGAAAGAGCUGACACAAGAGUGGAUUUUCUGAGAGCUGUUUGAGCAGAGAAAACUUGAAGGAGAUACAGUGAGUAGAACACAACCUGUAGGUGGUUUGAAGACCUGAGGACUCCAAUACCUCCCAACUCUCAUAUUCUCUAUAGUUUUUCUAGAAAAGCCCAUGUAUUGGGGCAUAACCUAUAAAGAUGAUAAGCAACUAAAAUGGAUAAACCAAUGACAUAAAAUGUUUAUUUCUUCUCUUGAUUAAAUGACAGAUACCCCAAUCUGCAGGCAUCAGAUGUUAUGACUGCCUCCACUCUCUGCAUUUUGAGAAAGCCUCUACAGAAAUUCUCAAAGGAAUGGGUAAAGACGUGAGUAUUUUUAACUACAUAUACUUUAAAUUUAUUUUUUCUUUUUGCAUUUAAAAGGCUUGAGAGGAUUUGGGUUGUAUCCAAACUGAAAAAAUAAAAAUAGGUUAAGUACA